AGUUUGAUCCUGGCUCAGAAUCAACGCUGGCGGCGUGCCUCAGACAUGCAAGUCGAACGAUUAAAGCUCUCUUCGGAGAGUGUAUAGAGUGGCGCACGGGUGAGUAACACGUAAGUAAUCUACCCUCGAGUGGGGAAUAACAACCGGAAACGGUUGCUAAUACCGCAUAAUGCAGCGGCACCGCAAGGCGACAGUUGUUAAAGAUUUAUCGCUUGAGGAGGAGCUUGCGGCAGAUUAGCUAGUUGGUAGGGUAACGGCUUACCAAGGCUACGAUCUGUAACCGGUCUAAGAGGACGGUCGGUCACACUGACACUGAAUAACGGGUCAGACUCCUACGGGAGGCAGCAGUCGGGAAUUUUGGGCAAUGGGCGAAAGCCUGACCCAGCAACGCCGCGUGAAGGAUGAAGUAUUUCGGUAUGUAAACUUCGAAAGAAUAGGAAGAAUUAAUGACGGUACUAUUUAUAAGGUCCGGCUAACUACGUG
rnacentral:rRNA from 1 species